rnacentral:rRNA from 1 species
AACACAUGCAAGUCGAACGGUAACAUUUCUAGCUUGCUAGAAGAUGACGAGUGGCGGACGGGUGAGUAAUGCUUGGGAACUUGCCUUUGCGAGGGGGAUAACAGUUGGAAACGACUGCUAAUACCGCAUAAUGUCUUCGGACCAAACGGGGCUUCGGCUCCGGCGCAAAGAGAGGCCCAAGUGAGAUUAGCUAGUUGGUAAGGUAACGGCUUACCAAGGCGACGAUCUCUAGCUGUUCUGAGAGGAAGAUCAGCCACACUGGGACUGAGACACGGCCCAGACUCCUACGGGAGGCAGCAGUGGGGAAUAUUGCACAAUGGGGGAAACCCUGAUGCAGCCAUGCCGCGUGUGUGAAGAAGGCCUUCGGGUUGUAAAGCACUUUCAGUUGUGAGGAAAAGUUAGUAGUUAAUACCUGCUAGCCGUGACGUUAACAACAGAAGAAGCACCGGCUAACUCCGUGCCAGCAGCCGCGGUAAUACGGAGGGUGCGAGCGUUAAUCGGAAUUACUGGGCGUAAAGCGCACGCAGGCGGUUUGUUAAGCUAGAUGUGAAAGCCCCGGGCUCAACCUGGGAUGGUCAUUUAGAACUGGCAGACUAAAGUCUUGGAGAGGGGAGUGGAAUUCCAGGUGUA